rnacentral:hammerhead_ribozyme from 1 species
UUCCAGCUGACGAUUCUCAAAUAGGACGAAACACGCGUCCUGGAU